rnacentral:rRNA from 1 species
CUGAAUCAGUGUGUGUGUUAGUGGAAGCGUCUGGAAAGGCGCGCGAUACAGGGUGACAGCCCCGUACACAAAAAUGCACAUGCUGUGAGCUCGAUGAGUAGGGCGGGACACGUGGUAUCCUGUCUGAAUAUGGGGGGACCAUCCUCCAAGGCUAAAUACUCCUGACUGACCGAUAGUGAACCAGUACCGUGAGGGAAAGGCGAAAAGAACCCCGGCGAGGGGAGUGAAAAAGAACCUGAAACCGUGUACGUACAAGCAGUGGGAGCCUCUUUAUGGGGUGACUGCGUACCUUUUGUAUAAUGGGUCAGCGACUUAUAUUCUGUAGCAAGGUUAACCGAAUAGGGGAGCCGAAGGGAAACCGAGUCUUAACUGGGCGUUAAGUUGCAGGGUAUAGACCCGAAACCCGGUGAUCUAGCCAUGGGCAGGUUGAAGGUUGGGUAACACUAACUGGAGGACCGAACCGACUAAUGUUGAAAAAUUAGCGGAUGACUUGUGGCUGGGGGUGAAAGGCCAAUCAAACCGGGAGAUAGCUGGUUCUCCCCGAAAGCUAUUUAGGU